UGUGACUGCGUACCUUUUGUAUAAUGGGUCAGCGACUUAUAUUCAGUGGCAAGGUUAACCAUCUAGGGGAGCCGUAGGGAAACCGAGUCUUAACUGGGCGUUCAGUCUCUGGAUAUAGACCCGAAACCAGGUGAUCUAGCCAUGGGCAGGUUGAAGGUUGAGUAACAUCAACUGGAGGACCGAACCGACUAAUGUUGAAAAAUUAGCGGAUGACUUGUGGCUAGGGGUGAAAGGCCAAUCAAACCUGGAGAUAGC
rnacentral:rRNA from 1 species